GACACUUGUAGAAACGUUUUGUCGUGUCAACUGUGGAAGCUAGUCGGGAUUUCGAGUGUAAACAGGCGCAGUACACUCACCCUUAAAGGCGACUGGGAUGUCGUCUUGGGGUGUCUUGCUUCAUUCUCAAUUGUUUGUAUACUUGUAACGGAAGUUUUGUCGAAUCACUUGGUAUCUCCGUGUGUCACUGGCAUGAAAGAAAAAAAGAAGAAAAAACAUAAAGUUGAGACGAUCUCGCGUGUCUUUUAUCUCAUUGUCAGGAUUGUUGUUACAGGAUAAAUUGAACUAAACAUAUCGCUGUAUAUACCAUUCACCGGAUUUUCGUGAGAUAAGCGAAAAAGCAUAUGGAAACCAUCCGUUUAACACUGGAAGUGCGCCUUUACAUUAAUAAUUUGUUACUAUACUGAAUAUAUAACAAAUAAUAUAAGCAAGUAUGAAUAAUACGAAUAUUGUUUAUUCAGCAAUUAUUUGAUACUCGCAUCUAUAUGAUUUAGAUAAAUCUUAGAUCUAAUGCGCUUUAAAAGUACCAAUGAAUAAAAUAUUUAAAUUCGACAUAACUUUAAAAUAUCUUUUAUAUCCUAUAUGUAAAAUGUAUGCUGGAUCUCCCAUUUUAAAUAUCACAGACAAAUAUCUCAGAAA
rnacentral:lncRNA from 13 species